AUUAAAUCUGGAAUAUUUGUUUUUAGAUUCUUGGCAGAGCACAAACACGCCACGAAAUUACCUUGUCACUGGCAAAUUAGAAGAACAAGCACGCCAAUAAACUUUCGGAGAGUAGCCAAUUCAAUGAUCUAUGCUAAUAAUAAAAUCUCAUUUUUCAGUAUCGUCUAAGCAAAUAAUAUUCUGUAUCAUCUAGCUAGCCCUAAAUUAAUGUGAAAAUAACUGUAGUGUUCCAUCCACUUCUUAUCCAGUUAGCCUUCAACAUCUUGAGCAUUUCUCCUAAAGAUC
rnacentral:misc_RNA from 1 species